rnacentral:rRNA from 1 species
UACGGAAGGCAGCAGUGGGGAAUAUUGCACAAUGGGCGAAAGCCUGAUGCAGCUAUGCCGCGUGUAUGAAGAAGGCCUUAGGGUUGUAAAGUACUUUCAUCGGGGAGGAAAAAACAAAACUAAUAAUUUUAUUUCUUGACGUUACCCGAAAAAGAAGCACCGGCUAACUCCGUGCCAGCAGCCGCGGUAAUACGGAGGGUGCUAGCGUUAAUCAGAAUUACUGGGCGUAAAGAGCACGUAGGUGGUUUUUUAAGUCAGAUGUGAAAUCCCUGGGCUUAACCUGGAACUGCAUUUUGAAACUGAAAUACUAGAGUAUCGUAGAGGGAGGUAGAAUUCUAGGUGUAGCGGUGAAAUGCGUAGAUAUCUGGAGGAAUACCUGUGGCGAAAGCGGCCUCCUAAACGAAUACUGACACUGAGGUGCGAAAGCGUUGGGGAGCAAACAGGGAUUAGAUACC